rnacentral:rRNA from 1 species
ACUGUUCGCUCAUCUAGAUACCACAAAAGGUGUUGGUUCAUUUUAGACAGCAAGGGACGGGUUGGUCAUAGGAAGUCGAAAAUCCGCUAAGGAGUGUGUAACAACUCACCUGCCGAAUGAACUAGCCCUGAAAAUGGAUGGCGCUUAAACGUAUUACUUAUACUUUACCAUUAAGAUAAAUGCUAAAUCUUAAUGAGUAGGAGGGCGUAUGGAUAAUUUAGAAGGCUAACAGUGAUGUUGGUUGGAAUUAUCUUUAGUGCAGAUCUUGGUGGUAGUAGCAAAUAUUCAAUAGAGAACAUUGAAGACUGAAGUGGAGAAAGGUUUCACAUGAACAACACUUGGAUGUGAGUUAGUCGAUCCUAAACGGUGGGUUAACUCCAAAUACAUGGAUACUUGUAUCCUGUACCGUGAAAGGG